rnacentral:rRNA from 1 species
CCUACGGGGGGCAGCAGUCGAGAAUCAUUUACAAUGGGGGAAACCCUGAUGGUGCGACGCCGCGUGGGGGAAUGAAGGUCUUCGGAUUGUAAACCCCUGUCAUGUGGGAGCAAAUUAAAAAGAUAGUACCACACGAGGAAGAGACGGCUAACUCUGUGCCAGCAGCCGCGGUAAUACAGAGGUCUCAAGCGUUGUUCGGAAUCACUGGGCGUAAAGCGUGCGUAGGCUGUUUCGUAAGUCGUGUGUGAAAGGCGCGGGCUCAACCCGCGGACGGCACAUGAUACUGCGAGACUAGAGUAAUGGAGGGGGAACCGGAAUUCUCGGUGUAGCAGUGAAAUGCGUAGAUAUCGAGAGGAACACUCGUGGCGAAGGCGGGUUCCUGGACAUUAACUGACGCUGAGGCACGAAGGCCAGGGGAGCGAAAGGGAUUAGAUACCCCAGUAGUC